rnacentral:rRNA from 1 species
UACGUAGGGGGCGAGCGUUGUCCGGAGUUACUGGGCGUAAAGCGCACGCAGGCGGUCUGUUAAGUUUGGAGUGACAGUUGGUGGCUUAACUGCCAAAGUGCUUCGAAAACUGACAGACUUGAGGGCUUCAGAGGGACACGGAAUUCCGGGUGGAGUGGUGAAAUGCGUAGAGAUGCGGAGGAACACCGAUGGCGAAGGCAGCCCCCUGGGCUAACACUGACGCUCAGGCACGAAAGCGUGGGGAGCAAACAGG